rnacentral:rRNA from 11 species
GGGGUGGAGCCGUAGCGAAAGCGAGUCUGAAUAGGGCGUUUGUCAGUGUUUAUAGACCCGAACCCGGGUGAUCUAACCAUGGCCAGGAUGAAGCUUGGGUGAUACCAAGUGGAGGUCCGAACCGACUGAUGUUGAAAAAUCAGCGGAUGAGCUGUGGUUAGGGGUGAAAUGCCAAUCGAACCCGGAGCUAGCUGGUUCUCCCCGAAAUACGUUGAGGCGUAGCGUCUCGUGCUCCAGCAGGGGGGUAAAGCCACCAUUUCGGUGCGGGCUGCGAGAGCGGUACCAAAUCGAGAUGAACUCUGAAUACCCUGUGUGUAGCGAGGCAGUCAGACUGUGGGGGAUAAGCUCCAUGGUCGAGAGGGAAACAGCCCAGACCGCCAGCUAAGGUCCCCAAAUCAACACUAAGUGAUAAAGGAGGUGGGAUUGCCCAGACAACCAGGAGGUUUGCCUAGAAGCAGCCAUCCUCAAAGGAGUGCGUAAUAGCUCACUGGUCGAGCGAUCCUGCGCCGAAAAUGAAUGGGGCUAAGUGUUGUACCGAAGCUGCGGAUUUAUGGUAGGGGAGCGUUCUAUGUGGGGCGAAGCGUUAGCGUGAGCGGGCGUGGACUGCAUAGAAGUGAGAAUGUCGGCUUGAGUAGCGAAAACAUGGGUGAGAAUCCCAUGCACCGAAACCCUAAGGGUUCCUCCGGCAGGCUCGUCCGCGGAGGGUUAGUCUGGACCUAAGGCGAGGCCGAAAGGCGUAGUCGAUGGGAACCACGUUAAUAUUCGUGGGCCAGGUGGUAGUGACGGAUCGCGCGGGUCUGUAUCCCCUUAUCGGAUUGGGGGUGCAGUGAGCCGGUUCCAGGAAAUAGCUCCACCAAUAUUGACCGUACCCUAAACCGACACAGGUGGACUGGUAGAGUA